UCUAUCUUGUUUGGUUACAUGGGUAUCAAA
rnacentral:piRNA from 1 species